rnacentral:pre_miRNA from 1 species
UCUUAUGGAUGAGCAAAGCAAGUGGCUUCUUCAGAUGGAAUCUGCUCCUGGUGAAGACACUAUGAA